rnacentral:rRNA from 1 species
CCUACGGGCGGCAGCAGUGGGGGAUAUUGCACAAUGGGGGAAACCCUGAUGCAGCGACGCCGCGUGGGUGAAGAAGCGCCUCGGCGCGUAAAGCCCUGUCAGCAGGGAAGAAAAUGACGGUACCUGAAGAAGAAGCCCCGGCUAACUACGUGCCAGCAGCCGCGGUAAUACGUAGGGGGCAAGCGUUAUCCGGAUUUACUGGGUGUAAAGGGGGCGGAGACGGCGAUGCAAGUCAGGCGUGAAAGCCCGGGGCCCAACCCCGGGACUGAUCUUGGUACUGGGUGGCUAGAGUGCAGGAGGGGCAGGCGGAAUUCCUGGUGUAGCGGUGAAAUGCGUAGAUAUCAGGAGGAACACCGGUGGCGAAGGCGGCCUGCUGGACUGCAACUGACGUUGAGGCCCGAAAGCGUGGGGAGCAAACAGGAUUAGAUACCCCGGUAGUC